rnacentral:lncRNA from 1 species
UUGUGGAUAGAUGAGUAUUUUUUUUAGAUUUUUUGAUCAAUAGGUUUUAUAUUUUAGAUAAAAUUCUCAAAAAUUCUCUUUUAGGAAAAUUUUCAUUUUUGUGAAUAAUAGUGUGGAUUUGCGGUUUUUAUUUAGAAAUUAGGAUAACAAGAAUUUUUUUGUUUAUAGAUGAGAAUUUCUUUUAGAUUUUUUUAUCAAUAGUUAUAUUUCUUUAAAAAUAAUUCUCAAAAAUUCUAUUUUUGGAAAGUUUUCAUUUUCUAUAGAAUUAUUGUAGAUUGGGGGUUGUGGUUUAUAAACUAUGAAAACAAGAACUUUUGCGGAUAGAUAAGUAUUUUUUUUUUGUUUUUUUGAUCAAUAGAUUUUAUAUUUUUGAUAAAAUUCUCAAAAAUUCUAUUUUAGGAAAGUUAUCAUUUUUGUGAAUGAUGGUGUGGAUUUGAGGUUUUGAUUUAGAAAUUAGGAUAACAAGAAUUUUUUUGUUUAUAGAUGAGUAUUCUUUUAGAUUUUUCGAUCAAUAGUUGUAUUUUUUAAAGAUAAUUCUUAAAAAAUUUAUUUUAGUGAAGUUUUCAUUUUUUUAUAGAAAUAUUGUAGAUUUGGGGUUGUGAUUUAGAAAAUAGGAAAACAAGAACUUUUGUGGAUAAAUGAGUAUUUUUUUUUUAAUUUUUUGAUCAAUAGGUUUUAUAUUUUAGAUAAAAUUCUCAAAAAUUCUAUUUUAGGAAAGUUUUCAUUUUUGUGAGUAAUGGUGUGGAUUUGGGGUUUUGAUUUAGAAAUUAGGAUAACAAGAAUUUUUUUGUUUAUAGAUGAGAAUUCGUUUUAGAUUUUUUGAUCAAUAGUUGUAUUUUUGAAAAUAAUUCUCAAAAAUUCUAUUUUAGGAAAUUUUUCAUUUUUUAUAGAAUUAUUGUAGAUUGGGGGUUGUGAUUUAGAAACUAGGAAAAUAAGAUCUUUUGCGGAUAAAUGAGUAUUUUUUUUUAAUUUUUUGAUCAAUAGGUUUUAUAUUUUAGAUAAAAUUCUCAAAAAUUCUAUUUUAGGAAAGUUUUCAUUUUUGUGAGUAAUAGUGUGGAUUUGGAGUUUUGAUUUAGAAAUUAGGAUAACAAGAAUUUUUUUGUUUAUAGAUGAGUAUUCUUUUAGGUUUUUUGAUCAAUAGUUGUAUUUUUAAAAAAAAAAUUCUCAAAAAUUCUAUUUUAAGAAAGUUUUCAUUUUUUUAGA